rnacentral:rRNA from 1 species
CCUACGGGAGGCAGCAGUGAGGAAUAUUGGUCAAUGGCCGUAAGGCUGAACCAGCGACGUCGCGUGAAGGAUGAAGGACCUAUGGUUUGUAAACUUCUUUUAUAGGGGAAUAAAGGUAUCCACGUGUGGAUAUUUGCAUGUACCCUAUGAAUAAGCAUAGGCUAACUCCGUGCCAGCAGCCGCGGUAAUACGGAGGAUGCGAGCGUUAUCCGGAUUUAUUGGGUUUAACGGGUGCGUAGGGUGUUUUUUAAGUCAGCGGUGAAAGUGUGUGGCUCAACCAUAAAAUUGCCGUUGAAACUGGAAGACUUGAGUGUGUUUGAGGUAGGCGGAAUGCGUGGUGUAGCGGUGAAAUGCAUAGAUAUCACGCAGAACUCCGAUGGCGAAGGCAGCUUACUAAGCCAUAACUGACACUGAAGAACGAAAGCGUGGGGAGCAAACAGGAUUAGAUACCCCUGUAGUC